rnacentral:rRNA from 1 species
AGCAGUCGCCGCGGUAAUACGAAGGGUGCAAGCGUUACUCGGAAUUACUGGGCGUAAAGCGUGCGUAGGUGGUGGUUUAAGUCCGUUGUGAAAGCCCCGGGCUCAACCUGGGAAUGGCAGUGGAUACUGGCUCGCUAGAGUGUGUCAGAGGAUGGUGGAAUUCCCGGUGUAGCGGUGAAAUGCGUAGAGAUCGGGAGGAACAUCAGUGGCGAAGGCGGCCAUCUGGGACAACACUGACGCUGAGGCACGAAAGCGUGGGGAGCAAACAGGAUUAGAUACCCGCGUAGUCCCUGUCUCUUAUAC